rnacentral:misc_RNA from 1 species
GAUGAAGAACGUAGCGAAAUGCGAUAAGUAAUGUGAAUUGCAGAAUUCAGUGAAUCAUCGAAUCUUUGAACGCACAUUGCGCCCGCCAGCACUCUGGCGGGCAUGCCUGUUCGAGCGUCAUUUCAACCAUCAAGCCCCCAGGGGCUUGUGCUGGGGCCCUGCGGCUGCCCGCAGGCCCUGAAAACCAGUGGCGGGCUCGCUAGUCACACCGAGCGCAGUAGCACAUCUCGCUCAGGGCGUGCGGCGGGCUCCUACCGUGAAACCCCCCACUGUAACCCCAAAGGUUGACCUCGGAUCAGGUAGGAAUACCCGCUGAACUUAAGCAUAUCAAUAAGCGGAGGA